UACGAAGGGGGCUAGCGUUGCUCGGAAUUACUGGGCGUAAAGGGCGCGUAGGCGGCUUGGUCAGUCAGGCGUGAAAUUCCUGGGCUCAACCUGGGGACUGCGCUUGAUACGGCCAGGCUUGAGGCCGAGAGAGGGUGGUGGAAUUCCCAGUGUAGAGGUGAAAUUCGUAGAUAUUGGGAAGAACACCGGUGGCGAAGGCGACCACCGGGCUCGGUACUGACGCUGAGGCGCGACAGCGUGGGGAGCAAACAGG
rnacentral:rRNA from 1 species